AACUGCACUUCAGGGCUUGCAAGAAUGAAGCAUCCAGACACGGACCUGAAGCUGGCACAGAUACAUCUCUCAUUGGAGCUGUUGUUUUGUGCUGUGAUCAUCUCCCUCUGGGUGGUUUCCUUGACUUUGUCGUCUGCCUUGUGAAUAGCGCGGCGGAUUCUCCUCGUCAUGCUGUGAAAGCUGACGUUACUUGAGCUUCCCUUUCACAUCUUGAGUAACAUUGCUUAUGUCAUACCUGUUUGGUCUCCUCUUCAGACUAAUUCAUGUUGAGGAAAGCAGUAAUGCUAACUCUGGCAAGCAAGCUGAAGCGGGAUGAUGGCGUCAGAGGACCCCGUACAUCCAAUCCAGCUUCCGAUUCAACUCGGAGGGUGUCUGUUCGGGAUAAAUUGCUUGUUAAAGAGGUUGCAGAACUUGAAGCUAAUUUACCUUGUACAUGUAAAGUGAAUUUUCCUGACCCAAACAAGCUUCAUUACUUUCAGCUAACUGUAAUCCCAGAUGAGGGCUAUUACCAAGCUGGAAAGUUUCAGUUUGAAAUUGAAGUUCCUGAUGCCUACAAUAUGGUGCCUCCAAAGGUAAAAUGCUUGACAAGAAUCUGGCAUCCGAACAUUACGGAGACGGGAGAAAUCUGCUUAAGUUUAUUGAGAGAACAUUCAAUUGAUGGAACUGGCUGGGCUCCAACUAGAACAUUAAAGGAUGUUGUCUGGGGAUUAAACUCUUUAUUUACUGAUCUUUUGAAUUUUGACGAUCCUUUGAAUAUUGAGGCUGCAGAGCAUCAUUUGCGUGACAAGUUUUAGGUGGUUUUACAGAAGAAGCUGAGCAACAUAAUUGCCCUGCGUUAUUUGCCUUUUUGAGCUUGCCAUCUUCCCUCUGAAACUCAUCCGUCAGCGUGCAACGCAUGGAAAUGUUUCCUGCUGUGUCAUUCUUAAGGGCCCUACAGUUGCAACGCUGUUUCAGUCCAGCCCCAGUCAUGUCAUUCUGGUUCUUGUUCGUGAUUAAGACUAGAGCAUUAGCAAAAGUCUCUUUGGAGGUGAGACUGGACCACUAAACUGUGCCACCAAGAUGCUUGGUUGACAGCCAUGAGUAGGAUGUUCUCGUGUCUUGUGUGAGAAAAGAAGGGAUCCCGAAAACCAGCUAGUGUUCCAGGAGAGACCUGCUUUUCAUCAGCUGCAGGAGGACUUUCGGAAUAAAGUUGAAGAUUACAUGAAGCGCUACGCGAGAUGAUGAAGGGCGACGGGCGGCAGGACCGUGGCUUUCCCGCUAUAGAGCUGUCUUUCACUUCCAACGACAACAACGGCACCGAACAGCCCAGAUUGUACUAGUCCUGUGUCCAUGUUGUACUGAAGAAGAAAACUAACUUCAUAACUUGUCCAUGUUAAAAGGGGAGUUCAGCGUAAAUACAGCGAGACAUUGUGUAUGUUGGUUGAAAGAGUUGUUUGCUUACUUUUAAAACGUUUACUCCUCCGAUCUGUACUGUAUAUCCUGUUGAUGAGAUACGCUUGAGAAGUUAAGAGAAAUCACUAUUGAAAUUGUAUUUACACUUUCUUUUUUUUUUUUUUAAUUCUUCUUCAAGUUUGGGGAGGGGAAAAAGGAAAAAAAAAAAAAAAGGCGAUGUGUUUCUGGAACGCUUGGAGUUGGCAAUAAAACGGUCUCCUGUGUACCAAAUCCCCACAACUGCUGCCUUUGAUGAGCAGAAAGAGUAGGAGCUUUUUGCAAGAGCCGUUGAGCUAAGGCUCGGAGGGCUUGCCCGAAGGCGAGCACUAGGUGAAAUUCGAAUUCUGCUAUUGAAAUUCCCAUUACUGCGUCAUCUACGUACUUUUUUUUGCCACACGUUUGGAAUCGUUACACUUGUUAUUUUCGGCUCCUGUUUGGGCUACAGUAUUUUUCGUUCCUGUUUUGUUGUGUGAAGUAGUUAAAAGAAGUGGAGGCUAAUCCGUACCUUAA